GCAUAAUCUAGUGUGUCAAGUCACCUUUGGAAAAUUCUUUUCAAAACUAUUUUGACUCUUUAAAACUGGUUUACGAACAGAGAUUCCGGCUAAGGAAUUCUAUUGACCGAAGGGAAGGUGUUAGGCACCCCUCGAUCCCGUGGUUCGACCACGGUCACUUGGUAGAGCGUAUCGGUUAAUUUAACACUAUGAGUGUACAAACCACAUAAAACAAACAAUAAACAAAUCAAACAAAAUGCAUCCAAAAAAAAUAAAUAAAGUCCAGUCCAAUUAUACAAUCCAAAAAUAGAAAAAUGCGUAAAAAUAAAUCCUAUUCUAAACUAAUCCUAGACUAAUGCUCUACCCGAUGCCUCGGGCCUUCAUCACGAAUGUCCUCCGGGUAUAAAAUACUUUGGGGCAUUUCCCAGCGAAUAAACAUAAAUAUUUCGGGGCAUUCCUCGGCCAAAUGAUACUUUGAUAUAAAAAAAACCAUAAAAACAAGCCAUUCAACACACAUUUUUCAACAUUCAACAUUUGAAGAGUUCUAAAUUUGCCUUACCGACCCUACUAUUUACCUAUCUAUUUGACGUCCUAAUCAUGAUACUACCACAUUCAAUAAGGUUAAUAAACAUUUCAAAUCAACUCAAUCAAUGAAACAAAAUUAAUCCGAGUUCACUUGAUCAAGAUCAAUCCCUCCCUAAUUUAUUAUCGAUUACGCAAUUACUCGAUUCUCAAUCAUACAAUUAUUCACCUCAAAUAAUCAAUCGAUAUCAAAAAACACUUAUGAUGAUUCAAAUAGGUCAUGGUCAAACAAAACAAGGCUCACACCUAUCACCAAUUUCAACACAUAAGGUAUCAAACGAUAAAGAUUAAUCAAGAACGGGAUAAGAAAUGGACCUUAAUUUUAUUUCGAACAAUUAGCGAUGGAUCAGAGCACAUGAACCAACGAACCUUGACAUCAAAACCCAAUUAGAAAAUCUCGACUCCAAAUUCUAUUUACCCAGACCCAUUUUCUCUCUGUAUUUUUAUGUGGGUCAUGAGAAGGGGAGCUGGACGAACUGCCAUGCAUUUGUUCGCCGGUGAUUUGAGCUGACUGGAGUGGUGGUUAACGGGAUUUUAUCGGCGAAUUUUGCCGAUGGUGAUGGAGUUUUGGGAUUCCGUGAGGCUUUGGUCGCCGGACUUGCUACCAGUGGAGUUCUCCAGUGACUGUUGUUGCAUCGCCGGAGCUUCGGCGAGCUUAACGGUGGUGACUAAUAUCCCCUUUCUCUAAUCUAUUCUCUUUCUCACAUCCUCUUUGCCUCUCCUCUCUUUGUUGUCAUCUUCUCCCUCUAUAAUCUAUUCUUUCUUUCGCGUCUCUGCAUAUUAAUGUCACUGGUGAGUGUUAUCUGAGAGAUCUGUGUGUGCUCUAUAUGUGAAUAUGGUGAUGGAAAGCCUAUGUGUUGGUAUAUCUUGUGAAGGGGAAUAUUGAUGAUGAUGAUGGAGAAUUGUUCCCUUUCUUUCUGUAUGUAUUUUCUAUGGUGAGAAUAUAAUAAUAAUAAUGAUGUGGGUCCCCCCAUGUGAAUGUUGUCUUGUAUAUCAAUGGAAAUGGUGAGGUCCUCAACAAAGUGGAAUAAAAUACGAGGAGUAUGGUAGUGAGGUGGUAUGGGGUAGUGAUGUGUUGUGAUAAAAUUUGUUAGG
rnacentral:lncRNA from 1 species